rnacentral:rRNA from 1 species
UGAAUACGAGACGCUAAGGCGUCGAAGUAGUGUAUGUCAUACUUCCAAGAAAAGCUUGCACUGUCAUAGAUAAAAAACGCCUGUACCAUAACCGACACAGGUGGGUAGGUAGAGUAUACUAAGGGGCGCGAGAUAACUCUCUCUAAGGAACUCGGCAAAAUAACUCCGUAACUUCGGGAGAAGGAGUGCCUUAUUCGUAAGGUUGCAAUAACAAGAUCCAAGCAACUGUUUAUCAAAAACACAGGUCUCCGCUAAGUCGUAAGACGAUGUAUGGGGGCUGACGCCUGCCCAGUGCCAGAAGGUUAAAGAAGUUGGUUAGCAAUUGCGAAGCUGAUAACUAAAGCCCUGGUGAACGGCGGCCGUAACUAUAACGGUCCUAAGGUAGCGAAAUUCCUUGUCGGGUAAGUUCCGACCCGCACGAAAGGCGUAAUGAUUUGGAUACUGUCUCGGAGAGGGGCUCGGUGAAAUAGACUUGUCUGUGAAGAUGCGGACUACCUGCACCAGGACAGAAAGACCCUAUGAAGCUUUACUGUAACUUGAAAUUGAAAUUGGACUUUAUUCGCGCAGUAUAGGUGGGAGGCGUUGAUUAUAAUCUUGUGGGAUUAUUGGAGCCAUCAGUGAGAUACCACUCUUGUAAUGUUAGAUUUCUAACUUUGAAUCAUUAUCUGGUCAAAGAACAGUUUCAGGCGGGCAGUUUGACUGGGGCGGUCGCCUCCUAAACGGUAACGGAGGCGUACAAAGGUUUCCUCUGAACGGUUAGAAAUCGUAUCUAGAGUGUAAAGGCAUAAGGAAGCUUGACUGUGAGACCUACAAGUCGAGCAGGGACGAAAGUCGGUCUUAGUGAUCUGACGGUACUGAGUGGAAAGGCCGUCACUCAACGGAUAAAAGUUACUCUAGGAUAACAGGCUGAUCUCCCCCAAGAGUUCACAUCGACGGGGAGGUUUGGCACCUCGAUGUCGGCUCAUCGCAUCCUGGGGCGGUAGUACGUCCCAAGGGUUGGGCUGUUCGCCCAUGAAAGCGGUACGCGAGCUGGGUUCAGAACGUCGUGAGACAGUUCGGUCCAUAUCCGGUGUAGGCGUUAGAAUAUUGAGAGGAGCCUUCUUUAGUACGAGAGGACCGAGAAGGACAUACCUCUGGUGUACCAGUUAUCGUGCCAACGGUAAACGCUGGGUAGCUAUGUAUGGAGUGGAUAACCGCUGAAAGCAUCUAAGUGGGAAGCCCACCUCAAGAUAAG